rnacentral:rRNA from 1 species
UGGAGGAAACUUUGGAAACUCAAGCUCCCACGUAAAGUUUCUAUCUUUUGUUGGCGGGCAUUGCAUGGAAUAAUCCCCCUAAAAUCCAUUGUUGCUAAUCGCCAUGUUGGAAGUGAAAGCGGGUGCCCAAUAUGCCAUGGAGGGGCUGAAGAUAUUAAACAUCUUCUGUUCGGCUGCAUGCAUGCGAAGGAAUUAUGGAGAAGUUUUGGAAUAUUAGAAAUUGUUGAACAAGCUAUGGAGGGGCAGCGAUCAGGAUCGGUGGUCCUGGAAAAUUUGAUGUUGAUGGAUGACCGCUCGCUUGCUCUUAAGCCAGGUUUAGAUGUCAAACAAGUCAUUGCAGUGGGGGGAUGGUAUCUGUGGUGGAUCCGU